AAAAAUGUUUGAAAUAUACAUUUCAAAUCAAGCGUCGAUAAUAUGUCGCUAAACGUUUUAUACAUUUUUCGACCGAUUUCGACUAAAUAUUGACCAAUUCUGAACCAAUCUGUGUUUACUGGGAGAACUCUUUAUCCGCCGUGCUUUUCCAUUUGUAAUUAAUAUUGAAAACAUCAAAUAAUUGAGAAAGUGUUUCAGUGAAUUUAUCAGAUGUUUUAUUUUUAUUUUUGUCAUAUAGAUCAAUUAAACUAUUGAGUUUCUUUCGGAAGAGUGUGUUGGAUAAUAGUUAAAAGUCUAGAAUUUUCUUUUAAAGAAGGUCUAUGUAAUCAUAAUUUUUAUUCGAACCAGUUGCAGUUUCUCGCUAUUGAACAGAAAAGGGAAGUUUUUAAGAAUUUGCCAGUUUUUCGGCAUCUGUGUGAGAUUGGUCAGUUUUUUGACAGAUGAAAUACUUUGAUACCUUUUAUGUUUAGAAGAGGAGAGAAGAUUCUUUACUAAAUUGCACCUGUUUGACUUUACACUGUCAUUUUCAUACAAUUGUUCCUCAAAUAAACAAUUGUUGGUGACAAAAUUGGUUAAGAUGCAAGCAACAUCGAGGGUGCUAUUGGCGACAUAUUAGAACGAGUCAAAAAUUAAUGUUUUUACUAGAUUGUAAUUAUAUAUUAAUAUUGUCAAAGAUAUUACUCUUUUAA